rnacentral:lncRNA from 12 species
GGCCCCCAUCACCCUAUAAGGUUGUAAGAUUGGGUGAUCGGGCCCCAGCUCCCUGUAAGAUUGUAUGAUCAGCCCUGCCCAGGUCACACAUCCUACGCUACUGUUCCAGGCCAUGUGCACCAAAUCAAACCAAGUCUGGGAGCAAGAAAAGUGAGUGGGACCCAGAGGGAGGCUGGCAGGGGUCCUGUGGGGAGGUGGUCCAAGGCAAGCUCAUCUUGUCCCAACAGGAAAGCAUCUGAAAAUGAAGUUUGGCUCAGGACUUUGAAGUCAGCAUGCUGUCAAGUGAUUUGUGUAGGACUAACCUGCACGGUGCCAAGUUUGUUUAUUUUUGGCUAAAAAUGAUUUCCUCUUUCUGAGAAGAGCGGCCCACAGUGGACAUAAAACAUCUCUUACAAACAACUUUGUGCUGAGCUCAGGCCCAACGACUCAGUGUCAAACAGAUUAUUUUUCCUACAAAAUGAUCCAGCGGUGACAAAUCAAGGGGAAAAGUGUUGGACAGGAGGCUUUUGGAAGUGGGCUAUUUGCCACACUCCUUCUUGUGCAGAGUGCGAGGCUGGGAGCAGGUCUGGUGGGAGGAAUGUGAAGCAACAUCUUCCCUCUGCUCUGGGCCCUUUGGCACACGGCUGACGGCUUCACUGCUGCUUCUGGAAGCAUGUUCUUGGCUGGGUGGGAGAGCUCAUGGAUGCAUCACAGGCCCCGUGGUAGAAGGACCUCACCAAGGCAUGAGGUCAGACAGUGGCACACCAACCAUCUGAACCCAGGCCUGCUGCCCCAAAGCUGCACGGCUGUCCCUAUGGUCUUGGGUUCAGUGCAGCACCAGCAACUGGGUUGAGAGCCAUCUCAAGAUCUGCUCCCCAGCGCUAACCCCUGCACCCCCUCUGGGGGCUGAAGCCCCAGGCUCCAUCUGGCCAGGGGGUCAGCUUGCAGGCAGGCAGACCGACCCUCUCUGCUGGUGGACCUAGGCCUGGCCCCCAGGUCCAUAGCGAUGGUGGUGGCAAACCGUGGAACCAGAGAGGUGCAGGCAUGGAUCAGAGGCGCAUGCUCCUGGAAUUCCUCAGGGAGCCAUGGGGGAAUGACAUCAUGUCCAUAGCCCUCAUUCCUGAGUGAACAGGAGCAAGAAUCCCCUGGGCUCCCCAGGAAAUCCUGACUGGGUAGGUCCGGGCUGGCCCUUGAUCCUCAUUUUCAAUAGGCCUUCCUCGUGAUGCUGAUUCCUGAAGGCUCCAGGUGACUGGCCCGUGGUCCUCCCUUUGCACCUAGUCAUCCCUGCUCCUCUUACUCCUUCACUGGUUACCCCCAACACGGAGGCCGGUGACCACACUGGUGACCGCAUGGUAUCUGUGCUGUGGGUCAGUGAUCUGCGCACACACUGAGGUGCAGCAGGAGGAGUUGGGUCCCUGCCUCGAGCCCCCACGACGUUGCCUGAGCUGUAGCCCCUGCAGGACUGGAAGCGUCCUCGCAGGCAGGAGUCGGUUCCUUUUGGGCAUCGCGAGCAUCCGUCCUUGGUUUCCUGCCAUGCGGAUUCCUCCGGCUUGACCGCUUGCCUCAUCCAGGCACUAGCCAGCCAAGGAGAGUGAGUUCAAGCUGGACACGAGUCACCGUCUUUCACAGCCCAGCCUCGGAAGUGACAUCUCAUCACCUCUGCGCCCCCCUCCCCUGCCCGGGACAGGUGAAGAUUGCUCAAGGGUCUGGAUACCAGGAGGUGGGGGGCACCUGCCAUCCCCGGUGACUCAUCGCGCUACGGCGCCAGCGUGAAGCUGGGAAUCCUGGAGGCUCCGUGAGGUGCAGGGUGAGGAUGCCCCUCGGGGUCUGCAGACCCAUGAACUAGAGAGACA